UGGCCGUCCACAUUAUCAAUGAUGGAAGGUGACGGAAUAGAUAUGCCUUGUACCCCAAACAACUCACUCACCUGCUAAAACACUACGCGGUUUUUAAUAUUGUGUUGUAUCAUUUUAGAACCCCGUCCUCCCCAUCUUUUAACAUUCCUGAAAUAAGAACGUGCCUUUCAAUGAAGAAUAUUUCUAAUCAACCAUUAGCCUUUUCCACCCCUCCCCCAUUUUCCAGGCUCUGAAAUCUUCUCACCUGGGAGGUCUGAGCUAAGAUGAGGACUAUUGAUGUCACCUGUUUGGUGCUGACUACCAUGUGCCACGCACAACAUUCCCUCCAGCUGAGGAAGAAAUGGAAGUCCACAGAGGGGAUCCAUCUUAGCCAAGAUGAGUAAGAGACUGUGACUUAGAGAGGAAAAAAAUGUCCCCAAUCACAAAGGUCAAGGAAGCAAAAAUGUGGAAGAGAAAGAGGAAGGAAAUUCAAGUAGCCCCAGAGUCGGAGCUCUCAGAAGCACCAAAAUCCCCCCAGACUUGGAAACUGACUUGUUACAGAAAGCCUUGCUUAGUUUGGAGUCCGGGGACUGUCAACAUUGAGAAACUUUAGAAAUUGCAAAUAUUUUUUGUAGGUGAAAGAUAAAAACACACUUGGAUGGGGAAAGGGGAAGUUCUAUUUUUGAAAGGGACACUG